UUCAAGUUCUAUGGUGAUGUAUUAUUUUUUUAUUUUCACUAUUUUGUUUUGGGGGCCUAGCUCUUGCAGUAGUUGCUUUUCUUUUUGUUUGUUGUGGCACUUAGUUCUUGGUCUAUUGAUUUGAAUUUUGUAUAAAUGCUAUAUAUGCAGAUAAGAAUGCAGACUAUGCUGUGAAGGUGAGUGGAGUGGAAAUAUUACCCGACCCUGCGGUGAGAGGAGUGCCGUUCACCUUUAAGAUCGCAGCUUAUACUGGUGACACUUCUCUUUCUAAUUCUAAUUAAUUUUUCCUCUGCAGCUCCCAUCAUGCUUUGUCUUUGUAUCAUUGUAUGUUUGUGUUACAUUUAUGCUUUACAAAAUUUCCAAAAUGAACUUUAAUAAUUAGUGGAAAUCGAAGAAAUUGUAUUCCGUGCUUUUUAUUGAUAAACAAUUGAGUAUUUAUAUACAAAGAUCCUAGGCUAAUAGUUAACUAAAGAAUAAAUCUAAGCGAGACUACAUACGUAAUUACAUCCUAAUAAAGGGAAUAAAUCUAAGCGAGAUUACAUGUGUAAUUACAUCAUAAUAAAUAAAGAAUAAAGAUUCCAAUAUUCUAUUCUAAUAUUAUAUUCUAACACACCCCCCCAGUCGAAGCUGGAGGGUCACCGAUGCUAAGACUGGAACAAAAAUCAUCAAAAGGGACCUGGGAUAAGCCUUUCGAGAAAAUAAGAUACCCUUCAAACUCGAGAGCGACCGGAGGAAAACCUUGGUGACCCGAAGAUGAGGAACCACGGUUGGCGUAAGGAACCACCGUUGACGUCGGAGAGCCGGGAUCAGAGGGUGAUCUGCCAUAAGAUGUAGCAGGAAAAAUAAAAAUAAAAAACUGGAUUUUUUUUAUAUAGGUUGAUGGCUUGGAGCGAUUCAACCGGUUUGGGUGAACCGUCCCGGGUCGAAUCGGGUGGGCGAGUCGAAAGAAACCGGUUCACCGGAAAGAAGAAGAAAAAUAAAUCUUUUUGGCUAGAACCCGGAUUUGGUUGCGGGUCGGGUGUUGGGCAAGAUUGAUGGGCGCGAGUGUUGUGAUGAACGAGGCAGAGAACGAUGAGCUGCACCUGGGUGAGGCAGCGGCGGUCAAAGUGGGCCGACGUUACCUUAAGGGAGCAUACGUGAUCUGGAAGGAGAUGACUCGUGAACGGGUCGGGUCUUGCUGUUUGGGGUGCGUUGGAGCUGCACGCGGGUGAAGAGAAGCAUCUCCGGCGCUGGGCACGCGGCGGGAGGAAUUGUAAUCCGUGCUUUUCAUUGAUAAACAACUAAGUAUUUAUAUACAAAGGUCCUAGGCUAAUAGUUAACUAGGGAAUAAAUCUAAGUGAGAUUACAUGCGUAAUUACAUCAUAUUAAAGGGAAUAAAUCUAAGUGAGAUUACAUGUGUAAUUACGUCAUAAUAAAUCAAGAAUAAAUAUUCUAAUAUUAUAUUCUAACAGAAAUGUUACUUAUUAUCUGUCAACCAGGUGAACCAAUUUCUAGUGGUGAUUUACUAUAUGAAAUUUCAUAUGCUGGGAUAGAAGGAGAACCUGAUACAUUUCUCCAUGAUCUCUGUGAGGAAGCACCUUGUCCUGUUCCUGCAGGCCACUUUACACUCGUUCACACCGAAUUUUUACCCUCGUUUACCCCACCGGUAAGUCUCAUUUUACCAAGGUUCCGCUUGUAAGAACUUACUUUAUAGCAUAAGCACUUAUGUAGUUAUGCAAAACACUUGAUAGCAUAAGCUUUUGUAUAUAGUGUAUGCAUUUCUAUACGCUGUCUUGAACUUAAUUUCAUAUGCUUUUCAGAUUAACUUAUGAAUAAGAGUUUAUGUUUAUCUAUAGCCCAUUUUCAGCUUAUUUCAAAAAGUUUCUUAAAUUUGUUUAAGUUGUUUACCCAAAUUCACCUCAAAUAUAUAUACUCUGUUGCCAUUUUUAAGAUAUCAAUCUGUGAGGAACCCCUUCAGAUUUAUGAAUUUACUUGGCAAUAUAUGAUAUUGUUUUGCUUUAAAAAAGAUUGCAAGAUGUUAAUGAUUCUUAGUCAUUGUGAGAAUGAUAUUGCUUUAUCCAUAAUCAAUAGAAAUUGAUGCUUCCUCUUCCUCAUCCUGGUUUCAUCUAUAUGGUAUGGGAACUGUUGCAGCUAAGCAUCACCAUAACUCAAGGAUACCAUUUGUUGAUUCAAAUAUAUUUUCCUCAUCUUCACUUAGAUGUUUGAUUUUAGAAAUUUCUUUGUAAUGCUGUAACAAAAUUAAAUAUCAAUUCAUUAACCAACUUAUAACCGUAUACUUCAAUUGCAGGGCACUUAUAAUAUGAAUGUGAAGCUGAACUUUAAGGAUCAGAAGGACAAGCAGUUAACUUGCAUUAUCUUUCCCUUCAAAAUCGGUCCUAAAUCUUCAGUGUCUGCUAUGUAGUUCUGACCGUAUAGAUGGUAGUUAUGGUUUAGUUCUUAACCCUCAAUGUGAACUAGUGAAGCGCCAUGCUACGAGUUAUAAAUUAAAUGUUUAUUUCCCCUAAUGAGUAAGUUGCCCAAGAAUUUAUGAUGUGUUUUGUUUGGCAUUAAGAAUCUUCCAAAAGAGUUUUGCUAGAUAGCAUGAGAUACUAGAUGAAAUGGAAAAGAAACAAUUGAAACUCUUAAUUUUAGGCUUAGAAACACAUUUGCUCCUCGACAAAUUCUAAUUGUGCAGAACGAGUCCUUAAACUAUUCUUUUGCAAGUUGAAUCCCCCACGUUUACGUCGAUAGUGAUGUUGGUCCUUAUAUCAUUUUCCGUAAAAAAAACUAACUAUUUUGGGGAUAAAAAAAGUGCAAUUUUAACUAGCUUGGUCGUUCGCUGCACUCUGGCACUCGAACUCCACCUUGCCCAACACCCAGUCUAGUGUCUGUCAGAUUCGUUGGUUUCUCCUCUCAGUGACUUCUGCAAUCCUCAUGGCCACCCUCUGCAGCGGAAGAUAUCAAACCUUGCAUCGUCUUUCGCUCAAACACUCCACUUGACCAUACCAUCAACGGAUAAUUUUUUAAAAGCUUUUUAACUAAAAAAAGAUGAGCUUGUUUUGCUUAACAUACCGGCCUAUUUUUUUAAAAAAAUUACAAGUCCGCAUUAAGAUUAGACUGAACACACAAAAAAACCUACCAGACUUAGAGACACGAUGAAUCACAAGUGUCUCUGGAAGUUAUGUCAAGUGGUAAGAGCUAGGGGACACGGCGGCGACACACAUGAAGAGAGAUCAAAGAGCGAUGGAGUUUGAGACUUCGAAGAUGAAGGUAGCUUCUGAGCCUGACUUUCUCUUCGACGUGGGUAGCAUCGUGGACAACUUCUUUCUUCUCGUGAAUCUGGGUUGAUUUACUCGUCGAUGGGGGGAUUGACGACGAGGCGGAGAACAACAAUGUGGCCAUCACGAUCUGGACAACAAGGGUUAGUGGGUUUAGGGGCUGAUUUUUGCCUAAUUUUAGUGUUGUUUGGGUUUGUUGACGGAGGAUCAAGGUUCUUGAUUACUGAUGUUAUGUAUAAUUAGGAUACUUAUGAUAUGAUUCUCGAGUCUCUCGUUCUUGUUGGAUUCUUUAUCGAUUUCUACUUUUCCUUUUCUUUUUGGGAAAUGCUGGAUUGCACAACCCUUUUUUGGCACUGCAGGCACUACCAGUUAUAAUUAAUACUCAAUCAUGCACUUUUACCAUUUUCUCCUCUCAUGAUUUCUGGAAAAAAAAAUUACUAUGUAAAAACACAUGGUCGUGCAGUGUAGUGCGUGAAAUGUGUCGUGGGAUAUAGCAACGCUGUUUCCUUUUUAUUUUUCCUUCUUCAGCGCAUUUCAGUUCAAUUAAUUGUCAUUUUCAUUUUGAACCUACAAAACCCAUAUGGGGUAUGUCAUGAUGCAACGAUGUUGAGUGUAAUUACUAAUUAGACUUUUGUGAUCACGAUUCUAUUUUUUUUUUUUUUGAGAGAAUCUAACCACAAACCAGGCCUCUAAAUAGGGUAGUAGGACAAGGCCAGACCUCAAAAUUUAGCCAAUGAAGCCGCAUGCCAGGCUUAUGCCACAAAAUUAUAAUGUAAGCUAGGAUUGAGUCAUGCAGAACUUGACCUAGCUUAUUUCCACCCUACGUACCGUGGUGACGAUGUUGAAAAUGGUGCAAAUACCAAUGACAAAGAAUCAUAUUCAAACCUAGAAGGCAAAGGAAACCCAGAGAAAAAUGAUUGGACCCUUUGUCCUAUUUCUUGUUGAAGGUUCACAAAGCUUUCAAUAGAAUGUUAUGGCACAAACUCUUCCUUAAGGGUGUACAAGUUUUAGUUUAUGUGUGAGCCUACUUUGCAGUUAAGCAUUUAAGACUCGUUUGUAGUAAAAUAGUAACAGAUUGUCAUAUCGACAUGAAAUUAAUAAUACUAUGUCGUUUAAUCCUAUUAUAUACUAUAUACUAUUUUCGAAACUAAAAAGUGGCAACUCCGACAAGUGUUACCCCUCAUUCUAUGUCUUUCUUCAUAAACUUUUUCUCUCAUACUAUAAUUAGUAGGUUGAUGAUGUCAUAUUUAUAUUUUCUGAUCUUAUAGUAAUUUAAAUAUUAAAUAAUUCCAUAUUUUCAAAAAUAAUUAAUGUAUUACUACUGCAUUUAGUAGUUUUUAAUGACAUUAGAAUAAUUAACAAAAGUCAAUUGUGAAUUUUUUGAAAAUUAAUUAUUGUAUUAAUUUGAGAUUUAAUAGUUUUUCAUGACAUUAAAAUAAUUAAUAGAAGUCAAUUGUGACUUUUCUACCAUUAAGUUGCAUGCUGACAAAGUCUUUUUUUAAUGGUUGUUUUCUAUAUAACAAAAUAAAAAAAUAAUAUAAAAUAGUUUUUAUUGCUGAUUUGAAAAUUAACUCAAAUUUUUUAUAUUUUAUGUUUUCCUAUAUACAUCUUGGAGAUUAAAUGGUUUUGCUAUAUUGAUUCAAAGCAUAACAAAUCAGAAAAAAUGGAAUUAGAAUGUAUAUAUAGGAUUUGAAAAACAAAACUUAAAUAUGUGAUAUCGUAUUUAAAAAAGAAAAGCGAGAGAGGAAAUAUGUAAAUGUUUGAUGUACACCGACAAAGUACUCUUAUUUCAUCUGUGCAUGACACGAAAUCAAUACUAGUAGUUCAUGUAUUCAAGUAGAGAGAUUUCACAAGAUUUGAAUUUAUUUUUUUUGUAACAUACAUAAAUAGAUAAGUGAAAGUAGGGGUAGCAAUAUGGGUUGGUGGGGCAGGCCGAGCCUGACCCGCCAUCAACCCUGCCGAAAUGCGGGUUGGGUUAGACUAACCUACUUUUUGUAAUUGGGCUCAAAGCCUCAAGUCAAUCCACAUUUUGGCGGAUAAGCGGGUUGACAAACUAGCCCACUUUAAGUAAACAACGAAAAAAAAAUGUUAUGCAAUUAGUAAAAAGUCAGAAAUGUUGUUCCAUUUUCCUUGUGCCACAGACAAAAAGCUAAAAUUUGUAAUUAGCGACACUACAACACUAAGACCAAAUUAAAAAGGAAGACAUGGUUUCUCUAUAUUUCUUUGUACAAUGUCAACAUUACUAUUCGAUUUUGAUUCAUCUCAAGUAGAAUCAAUUCCACAAUUACAAUAAGACUAAAAACCACAAACUCAUAACCAAUUCACAUGUUGCACAAAUUCUCCAUCAUCAUAACUCAUAAAUGUCUUUUAAAACAACAAAAACACAAAUCAAAGUCCAACAAUCUCACAAUGAUAUAAUCUUACACAGAACUUCUAAGUUCCAACAUAACCUUUAGUUUGAAACAUAAGAUGCUCUCAGGAUGGGGGGGGGGGGGGGGGAAACACCGCCCUGCCAUUAACUUGCUAAAUUGUGUGGCAGGAUACGCUGACUCUAUCUUAAAAUUUGGGUUAAAAGUCUCAACCCAACUCGCCAUGUUGUCCCAGCGGAUCAAGCCCAAUUUGUCACCCCUGAGAGCAUCUCCAGUGGGGUUGCGUAAUCCAAUUGGAUCACUUAAGCAAUAUUGCUUAUUUUGGAGCACAUGACAUAACAAUUACUGUUGCUUAAAUUUUAGCAACAUUACUUAUUUAAGCAACAUUUGUUUAUUCUCUUUCUACUAGCUUUUGCAUUUUAAAAUAAUACUUUCUCUAUCCUUCAUUAAAAUUCAUGCUAAAAUGGUAAUAAAGAAUAUAAAUCUACGAGAUACUGUGAUACCCAACGAAAAGUAAAAUAAGCAACCAUAGUUGAAGCGAAAAAUGCAUGAGUUGCUUAAGUCCUAUGUGACAAUUUAAACCACAAAAAUAAUGUUUAAGCAACCAAACUAGCAACUCAUGGUUGAACAUGCUGUAACGGAAAGUCUUUAAUUUAAUAAAAAAAAUUUAAGAGUCAUAACUUAUAAACAAAGCGUAACAAAAGCCUUGCAAUCCACGAGUUAUUAUUAUAUCAUUAUUUAUUCAUGUACAAAUGAUGCCAAGUACAGUAGUCACCGAUGUUCACGCGCUCCAUAGCCAUGGCGGUUCACUCUACUUCAACGCUUUACCUUGUUCUCUGCUUAUCAUCCACCGUUUUGCUGCUACUUUCUUCUUCUCAUGCACAAGCUCAGUCCCUCAAAUACUGUGGUAAUUAACUAAACUAGCUACCUUUACUCUUCAAACUUUUAGUUCAUGAUUUUGUUUUGUUUAUAUAAUUCUUCAACAUUCAUCAUUGAUAUGCCUCAUACUUAGUUUUGCAAUACUUGAGAGCUUCCUGUUUGAGAUUGCAUGUUGCAAGUAGGGAGAGAAACAUAGAGUGACUGACUCAGCUGCCAUUUCUGGUAUUAAUAGCUGAGAUGAAAAACGGUAGAAAUAGAACUCCUUUGUGGAAUUAGGGAACCUGUUUAAUUUGCUUGGACAAUAUAAACCCCUAUCAGAAGACAUGGGGUCAAAGGCUGUCAUGUGCGUGUCACGUGAUUACACUGUGUUGUUUAGUUUUUGUUUUGUUUUUUGUUACAAAGAAAUGUUAGUUGUUAGUUAUUAGUAAAUUAGUUCCUUUACCAGGGUUUGAACCCUGACCCUUCACCCUUCAAUAUCCUUCAUUUCCCUUAGCUCACCCACCCCACCCACAAUGUGUUGUUUAGUGGUUUUGUUGUUGAAUUGUUAGUUAGUUUGAAAUGUUCACUGGUUUAAUUACAAGUGGGUAGUUAAACCAAAAUGCAAACUUCUUUGCAAUUUGGGUCGGCAACUUGGCAUGCCUGGCGGUUAGACCCCGGUUUGAGCCUCACCCCAAGGGCGCGGGUUUGAAUCCCCUAGAGAUCUCUGACGCUCCAGCUAGCUACUGGAGUGGGUCUCGACUGGCCUCCACAGAGGUAAUAGAGGAGAUAAUCCUCCUCCGUUGGAGAUUCUCAGUAUGUCAUUGGCAACCUGUUCCGUAGGCCUGGGGUGCCUCUCCAAGCCCUACCAUUUUUUUACAACAAAAAAAAAGUUGUGUAAUUCACCAAUUCUAGUUAAUUUAUUGAUUGUUCAGCACUAGUUGAAAAAUUUUCAAGUUCUAUGGUGAUGUAUUAUUUUUUUAUUUUCACUAUUUUGUUUUGGGGGCCUAGCUCUUGCAUUAUUGUUAGUUUUUUUAUUCUUUGUUAUUGUAGUUAGCUCUUGGUUUAUUGAUUUGAAGUUUGUAUAUGUAUGGUAUGCAGAUAAGAAUGCAGACUAUGCUGUGAAGGUGAGUGGAGUGGAAAUAUUACCUGACCCAGUGGUGAGAGGAGUGCCGUUCACCUUUAAGAUCGCAGCUUAUACUGGUGACACUUCUCUUUCUAAUUCUAAUUAGUUUUUCCCCCCUCCUCCCGCCAUGCUUUGUCUUUGUAUCAUUGUAUGUUUGUGUGACACUUAUGCUUUACAAAAUUUCAAGAAUGAACUUUAAUAUUAGUGGAAAUGUAAUUGAUUAUCUGUCAAGCAGGUGAACCAAUUCCCAGUGGUGAUUUACUAUAUGAAAUUUCAUAUGCUGGGAUAGAAGGAGAACCUGCUACAUUUCUCCAUGAUCUCUGUGAGGAAGCACCUUGUCCUGUUCCUGCAGGCCACUUUAAGCUUGUUCAUACCGAAUUAUUACCCUCGGUUACCCCACCGGUAAGUCUCAUUUUACCAAGGUCACGCUUGUAAGAGCUUAUUGGAGCUUAUUUUAUAGCAUAAGCGCUUUUGCUACUGUUUGUGAGCGCUUUUGUAUAUAGUUUAUGCAUUUCUAUAAGCUGUUUUGAAUUAAUUUCAAAAGCUGUUCAGAUUAACUUAUGAAUAAGAGCUAAUAUUUAUCUAUAAC
rnacentral:lncRNA from 1 species